rnacentral:rRNA from 1 species
CCUACGGGAGGCAGCAGUGGGGGAUAUUGCACAAUGGGGGGAACCCUGAUGCAGCGACGCCGCGUGGGUGAAGGAGUAUUUCGGUAUGUAAAGCCCUAUCGGCAGGGAAGAAGCAAGACGGUACCUGACUAAGAAGCCCCGGCUAACUACGUGCCAGCAGCCGCGGUAAUACGUAGGGGGCGAGCGUUAUCCGGAUUCACUGGGUGUAAAGGGAGCGUAGACGGCCAUGCAAGCCAGGGGUGAAAGCCCGGGGCCCAACCCCGGGACUGCCCGUGGAACUGCAUGGCUGGAGUGCGGGAGGGGCAGGCGGAAUCACUGGUGUAGCGGUGAAAUGCGUAGAUAUCAGGAGGAACACCGGCGGCGAAGGCGGCCUGCUGGACCGCGACUGACGUUGAGGCUCGAAAGCGUGGGGAGCGAACAGGAUUAGAUACCCGGGUAGUC